rnacentral:rRNA from 1 species
AGUGAACGCUGGCGGUAGGCCUAACACAUGCAAGUCGAACGGCAGCACAGUAAGAGCUUGCUCUUACGGGUGGCGAGUGGCGGACGGGUGAAGAAUACAUCGGAAUCUACUUUUUCGUGGGGGAUAACGUAGGGAAACUUACGCUAAUACCGCAUACGACCUACGGGUGAAAGCAGGGGAUCUUCGGACCUUGCGCGAUUGAAUGAGCCGAUGUCGGAUUAGCUAGUUGGCGGGGUAAAGGCCCACCAAGGCGACGAUCCGUAGCUGGUCUGAGAGGAUGAUCAGCCACACUGGAACUGAGACACGGUCCAGACUCCUACGGGAGGCAGCAGUGGGGAAUAUUGGACAAUGGGCGCAAGCCUGAUCCAGCCAUACCGCGUGGGUGAAGAAGGCCUUCGGGUUGUAAAGCCCUUUUGUUGGGAAAGAAAAGCAGCAGGUUAAUACCCCGCUGUUCUGACGGUACCCAAAGAAUAAGCACCGGCUAACUUCGUG